GAUCAUGGCUCAGGAUGAACGCUAGCUACAGGCUUAACACAUGCAAGUCGAGGGGCAGCAUGGUCUUAGCUUGCUAAGGCUGAUGGCGACCGGCGCACGGGUGAGUAACACGUAUCCAGCCUGCCGUCUACUCUUGGCCAGCCUUCUGAAAGGAAGAUUAAUCCAGGAUGGCAUCAUGAGUUUCACAUGUCCGCAUGAUUAAAGGUNUUUCCGGUAGACG
rnacentral:rRNA from 1 species